rnacentral:sRNA from 1 species
AAGAGAAGAGGACGAAGAAGAAG